GCCUUCGUAAUGUAGUGGUCAGCACACUGGACGCGUAACCGAGAGAUCCGUGGUUCGAUUCCCGGCGAAGGCU
rnacentral:tRNA from 1 species